AAGACAAUACUUUCAGGGAUCAUUUCUACAGUUCAUUACUAGAGAAGUUUCUCUGAAUGUGUAGAGCAGGGGUCCCCAAUCCCAGGG
ensembl:snoRNA U3 Small nucleolar RNA U3